rnacentral:rRNA from 1 species
UACGUAGGGUGCGAGCGUUUUCCGGAAUUAUUGGGCGUAAAGGGCUCGUAGGCGGUUUGUCGCGUCGGGAGUGAAAUCCACUGGCUUAACUGGUGGCUUGCUUUCGAUACGGGCAGACUGGAGGUAUGCAGGGGAGAACGGAAUUCCUGGUGUAGCGGUGAAAUGCGCAGAUAUCAGGAGGAACACCGGUGGCGAAGGCGGGUCUCUGGGCCGAUACUGACGCUGAGGAGCGAAAGCGUGGGGAGCGAACAGG